rnacentral:rRNA from 1 species
ACUCUAAUGAGACUGCCGGUGACGAAACCGGAGGAAGGUGGGGAUGACGUCAAGUCCUCAUGGCCCUUACGGCCUGGGCUACACACGUGCUACAAUGGUCGGUACAAAGGGUUGCCAAGCCGCGAGGUGGAGCUAAUCCCAUAAAACCGAUCGUAGUCCGGAUCGCAGUCUGCAACUCGACCGCGUGAAGUCGGAAUCGCUAGUAAUCGUGAAUCAGAAUGUCACGGUGAAUACGUUCCCGGGCCUU